UUUAGCGGCGAACGGGUGAGUAACACGUGAGCAACCUGCCCCUGACUCUGGGAUAAGCCCGGGAAACUGGGUCUAAUACCGGAUAUGACCGCCUCCGGCAUCGGAUGGUGGUGGAAAGUUUUUCGGUCGGGGAUGGGCUCGCGGCCUAUCAGCUUGUUGGUGGGGUAGUGGCCUACCAAGGCGACGACGGGUAGCCGGCCUGAGAGGGCGACCGGCCACACUGGGACUGAGACACGGCCCAGACUCCUACGGGAGGCAGCAGUGGGGAAUAUUGCGCAAUGGGCGGAAGCCUGACGCAGCGACGCCGCGUGGGGGAUGACGGCCUUCGGGUUGUAAACCUCUUUCAGCAGGGACGAAGUUGACGUGUACCUGCUGAAGAAGCGCCGGCUAACUACGUGCCAGCAGCCGCGGUAAUACGUAGGGCGCAAGCGUUGUCCGGAAUUAUUGGGCGUAAAGAGCUCGUAGGUGGCUGGUCGCGUCUGCCGUGAAAGCCCGCAGCUUAACUGCGGGUCUGCGGUGGAUACAGGCCGGCUAGAGGUAGGUAGGGGCAAGUGGAAUUCCUGGUGUAGCGGUGAGAUGCGCAGAUAUCCCGAGGAACACCCUUUGCGAAUGCGGCUUGCUGGGACCUUACCUGAAGCUGAAGAC
rnacentral:rRNA from 1 species